GCGACACCGCGUGAAGGAUGAAACCAUUUUUUGGCGUAAACUUCUGUUYUGAGGGACGAAAUUUUUGACGGUACCUCAGGAGAAAGCMCCGGCUAAUUCCGUGCCAGCAGCCGCGGUAAGACGGAAGGUGCAAGCGUUACUCGGAAUCACUGGGCGUAAAGCGUCCGCAGGUCUUCUCCCACGUCUGGCGUAAAAGCACAGAGCUCAACUCUGUGUACGUGCUGGAAACGAGGAGAAUUGAGUCACUCAGAGGCAUCUGGAAUAUCGUGUGUAGGGGUAAAAUCCGUAGAUCCACGAUAGAACGCCAAAAGCGAAGGCAGGAUGCUGGGGGUGUACUGACACUCAUGGACGAAAGCGUGGGGAGCGAACGGGAUUAGAUACCCCGGUAGUCCACGCCCUAAACGAUGCGUGCUCGGCGUUGGGAUUUUCAAUCGAUCUCAGUGUCUUAGCAAACGCGGUAAGCACGCCGCCUGGGUAGUACGACCGCAAGGUUAAAACUCAAAGGAAUAGACGGGGACCCACACAAGCGGUGGAGCAUGGGGUUUAAUUCGAUGAUAAGCGGAGAACCUCACCCAGGCUUGACAUCUUAGGAAUCCGCCAGAAAUGGCGGAGUGCCGCAAGGACCCUAAAGACAGGCGCUGCACGGUCGUCGUCAGCUCGUGCCUUGAGGUGUACUGUUAAGUCAGCGAACGAGCGCAACCCUCGUCCUAUGUUGUUUUU
rnacentral:rRNA from 1 species